GUCUUUUUGAAAUAAUUUAAAGUCUAAUCUGCCCACUGAUAAAAUUAAAGGGCUGCAGUAUAAUGACUGUACAAAGGUAGCAUAAUCAAUAGUUUUUUAAUUGAAAACUUGUAUGAAAGAUUUGAUGAAAUAUAAACUGUCUCUAAUUUAUAAAUAGAAUUUUAUUUUUUAGUAAAAAAGCUUAAAUAAAUUUAAAAGACGAGAAGACCCUAUAGAGUUUUAUAUUUAAUUUUAUUAAAAAAUUAUAUAAAAAUUAAUAUUUAAAUAAAAUUAAAUAUUAUAUUGGGGUGAUAGAAAAAUUAAAUUAACUUUUUUUAAAAAUUAAACAUAAAUAAAUGAUUAUAUGAUCCAUAAAUAAUGAUUAUAAGAAGAAAUUACCUUAGGGAUAACAGCGUAAUAUUUUUUUUUAGCUCAAAUAAAAAAAAAAGUUUGCGACCUCGAUGUUGGAUUAAGAUAAAAUUUAAAUGCAAAAGUUUAAAAGUUUUGAUCUGUUCGAUCAUUAAAAUCUUACA
rnacentral:rRNA from 1 species